GGGCACAUGGUGUAGUUGGUUAUCACGCUCGCUUAGCAGUACACGGUCACGUGACUUGGGAAUGCGAGAGGUGUUGGGUUCAAUUCCCAAUGUGUCCA